rnacentral:tRNA from 1 species
GAGCCGCUAGCUCAGUCGGUAGAGCAUCGGACUUUUAAUCCGGUGGUCGCAGGUUCGAUUCCUGCGCGGCUCA